rnacentral:lncRNA from 1 species
GUCACAGUGGUUCAGUUGCAUUGAGAGCAUGCAACCACUUUAUUAACAAAGAGUUGCUCCAGGGUAAAGAUGAGGUUGGGCCCAAUAACUAUUAGGUGAGGGAUCCAAUGAUGGCUUUGCAUCUGCUUAUGAAUAGUUGGUCUGACUUAACUAAGGAGUAUGGGCAAUAAUUGUUAGAUGAGCCUACAUAACUUAGAGACCAAAUAGCUAC